rnacentral:rRNA from 1 species
AUCCUGGCUCAGGAUGAACGCUGGCGGCGUGCUUAACACAUGCAAGUCGAACGGUGAAGCCCACUAUUUAUAGUAGGCGGAUCAGUGGCGGACUGGUGAGUAACACGUAGGUGACCUGCCCCAAAGUGGGGAAUAACUUGACGAAAGUGAAGCUAAUACCCCAUAGUAUCGGUCAUUCGGUUGGCCGAUUAAAGUUUCGGCGCUUUGGGAGGGGCCUGCGGCCCAUCAGCUAGUUGGUAGGGUAACGGCCUACCAAGGCUUCGACGGGUAGCUGGUCUGAGAGGACGAUCAGCCACAAUGGCACUGAAACACGGGCCAUACUCCUACGGGAGGCAGCAGUGAGGAAUAUUGCACAAUCAACGAAAGUUGGAUGCAGCAACGCCGCGUGGACGAUGAAGGCUCUAGGGUUGUAAAGUCCUUUUAAGAGGGAAGAGGAAGGACAGUACCUCUUGAAUAAGCCUCGGCUAACUACGUGCCAGCAGCCGCGGUAACACGUAGGAGGCGAGCGUUAUCCGGAUUUAUUGGGCGUAAAGCGCACGCAGGCGGUUAAGUAAGUCGGAUGUGAAAGUCCCGGACUUAAUCCGGGGAGGUCAUUCGAUACUGCUUGACUUGAGAACGGGAGAGGGAAGUGGAAUUCUCGGUGUAGUGGUGAUAUGCGUAGAUAUCGAGAGGAACACCAGUGGCGAAGGCGGCUUCCUGGCCCGUUUCUGACGCUAAGGUGCGAAAGCGUGGGGAGCGAACGGACUUAGAUACUCCGGUAGUCCACGCCGUAAACGAUGGGUACUAGGUGUGUAGGGGGUGUAAAACUCUCGACGCCGGCGCUAACGCAGUAAGUGCCCCGCCUGGGGAGUACGGUCGCAAGGCUGAAACUCAAACGAAUUGACGGGGGCCCGCACAAGCGGUGGAGCAUGUGGUUUAAUUCGACGCAACGCGAAGAACCUUACCUAAGGUUUGACAUGGGCGAGACCGCCGGUGAAAGCCGGUUUCCCUUCGGGGCUCGUUCACAGGUGCUGCAUGGCUGUCGUCAGCUCGUGUCGUGAGAUGUUGGGUUAAGUCCCGCAACGAGCGCAACCCCUGCUCUUAGUUGCCAGCGAGUAAUGUCGGGAACUCUAGGGGGACUGCCGGUGAUAAACCGGAGGAAGGUGGGGAUGACGUCAAGUCAUCAUGGCCUUUAUGUCCAGGGCUACACACGUGCUACAAUGGACGGUACAAAGGGCUGCGAGACCGCGAGGUGGAGCCAAUCCCAAAAAGCCGUCCUCAGUUCGGAUUGCAGUCUGCAACUCGACUGCAUGAAGGUGGAAUCGCUAGUAAUCGUAGAUCAGCAUGCUACGGUGAAUACGUUCCCGGGCCUUGUACA